rnacentral:ribozyme from 1 species
AAAGAGAACAUCAACACAAGAACAAUAUUUACUCUGUGACACAAUGCAAGAGUGGAUUUGUGAGAUAAUCGAUUAUCAACAAUGUUGCUUUUUUUUUUUACUUCCUCUUUUUUUUUUUC